rnacentral:rRNA from 1 species
CAAUAGCGUAUAUUAAAGUUGUUGCAGUUAAAAAGCUCGUAGUUGGAUUUCUGGUGGGAGCGACCGGUCGGCGCUUAACGGCGUGUGCACUGGAGUUGUCUCUUGCCAUCCUUGAGGAGAACGUGUCUGGCAUUAAGUUGUCGGGCUUGGGAUCCUCAUCGUUUACUGUGAAAAAAUUAGAGUGUUUAAAGCAGGCAUUUGCUGUGAAUACAUUAGCAUGGAAUAAUAAGAUAGGACUUUGGUGCUAUUUUGUUGGUUUGCGUACCAAGGUAAUGAUUAAUAGGGAUAGUUGGGGGUAUUCGUAUUCAAUUGUCAGAGGUGAAAUUCUUGGAUUUAUGGAAGACGAACAACUGCGAAAGCAUUUACCAAGGAUGUUUNCAUUAA